ensembl:lncRNA
CUUGAACACUUCAGCCUCCCAUGAUGUGAGUCCAUGGAGGCAGAUACAAAUGCAGAACUGCUUUUAUUGCAGACAGACACAGGGAAACCUUCACAAGGAUUAGACACACUAGGAACCAGGACUAUUAGAACUAAAUAAACAUUAGGCAGCACAUUGCAGAUUUAGCCAAGCCAGAUUUGUCACUUAUCAGUCAGGUUGUUCAGGUUUAAUGUGUUGCAUGUUCUUCAUUUCUUGUCUUAAACUGAAUACCUUGUCUUAGAAUUGCAGUAACCCCUUGCUAACUAUAUGGUUUGGCAGCAGAUAGUGAGUCACAAGUGCAGAAGCUCCAAGUGAAGAAGAGUAGAGAAGGAGAAGUGUGUCAAGAUCAGACACCAAUAUCACAUCAGGCAGCAGGAGAACAUGAAUGUUGAUGCCGUAUCACCCUACAGCUCUCACCUAGUGUCCCAGUGAAGCUACGCAGGGUUGAGCCUGCCCAGUAACUGGAUGGGAAACUUCCUGGGGAAAACUAAGGAGAUAAACCCAAACACAAGAACAGCUGCUCUGCUUGGUCUUCCCUGCUAUCUUUCAGAGGAUUCCUUCAAAAUAAUCAGGAAGUGUGAUUCUUUCCAUCAAGAUACAGAUGAUACUCUUGAGAUACCAAUGAUCCUGACCCCUUCUGCUCUCUGGACCUGCCUGAUCAAUCCUGAUGUUCUACUUCUGUUUGGAGUUCUCAAUUGGAAGUCACAUGUUGCUGCUGAGGAUUGCCACAAACAGUUUUGCACUCAUCAGUGGAAAGUGGACAAGUUCAACAAAACAGACUUCAAAGCAGUAAUGAAGUUUCCUGGUUACACAAUUGCACUAUUUGACCAUGUAGUAUUAGAAGGCAUUAAUUUAUUUAUAAUCGCAAAAAUGUAUUUAUAAUUUAUUUUUAUUGCACUAUCCGGUGUCACCCAGAUGUGAACGGGUUCCCUUUUGAGUCUGGUUCCUCUCAAGAUUUCUUCCUCACAUCUUCUCAGGGAGUUUUGCCUCACCACCGUCACCUCUGGCUGCUCAUUAGGGAUAAAUUCAUACAUUUAAGAUCUAUAUCCCAAAUUUCUGUAAAGCUGCUCUGGGACAAUGUCCACUGUUAAAAGCACUAUACAAAUAAAACUGAAUUGAAUGGCCUAUGACUGAUGAAUUAAUGUUGCUCAUUAUUAAGUUUCUCUCAGCAGGGUGGAGGGUUUAAACUUCUCAGUAAUGUCGAGGUGGUGCCUCACACCCCCAGGGUCCGUGGUUCGACUCCUGGUAGGGCCAUGUGUGUGCAGAGUUUGCAUGUUCUCCCUGUGCUGCGGGGGGGUUUCCUUCGGGUACUCCGGUUUCCUCCCCCAGUCCAAAGACAUGCAUGGUAGGCUGAUUGGCAUGUCUAAAGUGUCCGUAGUGUAUGAAUGGGUGUGUGAGUGUGUAUGUGAUUGUGCCCUGCGAUGGACUGGCACCCUGUCCAGGGUGUACCCCGCCUUGUGCCCGAUGCUCCCUGGAAUAGGCUCCAGGUUCCCCGUGACCCUGAAAAGGAGUAAUUUUACUCCUUUUAUUAGCUUUUAUUGAAGAGAAUAUAAUCCAAAGGGCAAGGCAAAAUCAACAAUGAGGACAAGACUAGAGCAGGUAAAGCAGAUAAUCGGAGUCAAGGGCAAAACAGAAUAAGAAUCACAAAACAAUCGACUGGCUUGGUAAUGACAGAAACUAGAUUAACUGAGCAUUUACUUUGCAAACCCAGGGUAACUUCUAAGCAUCUGAUGUUCAUGAGUCCACCCUCAGGAGAACACUGAACAACAAUGGUGUGCAUGGCAGGGUUCUAAGGAGAAACCAUUGCUCUCCAAAAGAACAUUGCUGCCCUUCUACAGUUUGCUAAAGAUCAUGUGGACAAGCCAGAAGGAUACUGGAAAAAUGUUUUGAGACCAAAUUAGAACAUUUUGUUUUAAAUGAGAAGCGUUAUGUUUGGAGAAAGGAAAACACUGCAUUCCAGCAUAAGAACCUUAUCCCAUUUGUGAAACAUGGUGGUGGAAGUGUCAUGCUUUGGGCCUGUUUUACUCCAUCUGGACCAGAAUGACUCAUUAUCACUGAUGGAACAAUGAAUUGUGAAUGAUACCAGUGAAUUCUAAAGGAAAAUAUCAGGACAUCUAUCCAUGAACUGAAUCUGAAGAGAGAGUGGGUCAUGCAGCAAGACAACGAUCCUAAACACGAGUCGCUCUACCAAAGAAUGGUUAAAGAAGAAUAAAUUAAUGUUUUGGAACGGCCAAGUCAAAGUCCUGACCUUAAUCCAAUAGAAAUGUUGCCGAAGGACCUGAAGCAAGCAGUUCAUGUGAGUUACAGCAAAUGUUUAGUUGCAGUAAUUGCUGCACAAGAGGGUCACAACAGAUAAUGAAAGCAAAGGUUCACAUACUUUUGCCACUCACAGAUAUGUAAUAUUGGAUUUUGAUCAAUAAAUAAAUGACCAAGUAUAAUAUUAUUGAUUCAUUUGUUUAAUCAGGUUCUCUUUAUCUACUUUUAGGACUUUGAUGAAAAUUUGAUUAUGUUUUAGGUCAUACUUAUGCAGAUAUAUAGAAAAUUCUAAAGGGUUCACAAACUUUCAAGCACCACUGUGCUGUAUGUGCAUUAAGAAUCAUAUUCAGAGUUAAUGAUUUAAGUUAAAAGUUAUAUUAAUA